GGUGGCCUGAAGGCUGCGGCAGUCGAUCAUCGUAUGCUGCCGCAGUUGAUCCGGUCCGCU
rnacentral:ncRNA from 1 species